CUUAAUUUAUUUUUCUUUCUUUCCAUUAUAAAGUAAAUUCGUAACAUCCUUAAUUUAAGAAGUUGUUGUCAGGAGUCAGUUCGUUACGCCAUCUCUCGUGUGUCAGUCAUCAGUAAUGUGCGGCGAGUAGGAACGCUGGGCUGUGUUUACUGCGCGAAGGCUUUCUUUGUCACCAUGCCUCGUGUAAGUGUGCCAAGAGGAUCUGCCAGGAAACGAGGUGAUUCAAGCCUUAAAGCGUGUGAAGGAAUGUCCAGUAGGAGGAGGAAGAGGAGGAAUGUUGCACUAGAAUGACAAUCGCUUUGUCUCGGCAGUUCAAUUUCCAGGAGGGGAAAAAAGUGGCGUCAAGUCCAGUGGUAAUUUAAGAGUGAUGGAGAAUGCUGAAUGGAAACAGCGAGGGAUAAUUCUGAAGAGGAGCCAGCAUCUCCAGGAGGAGGUAAUGCUGCUGCAUCGCUCGCCAAAGGCAGUCCCUCGGGAUCAAUUUGCAGUGAGGAUCGUGUUUCUCGCGAGGUGAACAGAUUGCGGCCAGUGAGGCGGUGCGGGCGUCUGGGGCAGCGGGAACUCAGCUAGUCGUGCUUACCUGUCAGCCCUCUGUGGUCUUGUCGCACCUGUGAUAUUCUCGGAAGCGUCUGACAAGGUAGUUGAAGGGUAAUCGCCAAUCACCAGCUUAAUGUAGCGAAGCAGACAGCAUUCACAGUAAGUAUAACCUCACUUGCUAAUUGUCAUGUGCCUCCCAAGGUGAAGGGCU